rnacentral:ncRNA from 1 species
GAGUCUAACAUGUAUGCAAGCAGGUGGGCGGCAAACCCAUUGAUGCGCAAGUAAACUGACAGGUGGGACCCCCGUAAAAAAGGGUGCACCAUCGACCGACCGUGAUCUUCUGUGANAGGUUUGAGUGUGAGCAUACCUGUUGGGACCCGAAAGAUGGUGAACUAUGCCUGAGCAGGGCGAAGCCAGAGGAAACUCUGGUGGAGGCUCGUAGCGAUACUGACGUGCAAAUCGUUCGUCAGACUUGGGUAUAGGGGCGAAAGACUAAUCGAACCAUCUAGUAGCUGGUUCCCUCCGAAGUUUCCCUCAGGAUAGCUGGAGCUCGUGUAAGAGUUUUAUCAGGUAAAGCGAAUGAUUAGAGGCAUCGGGGGUGUAACACCCUCGACCUAUUCUCAAACUUUAAAUAGGUAAGCCGCCGGGGUUGCUUGGUUGAACCCCGGCACAGAAUGAGAGCUCCAAGUGGGCCAUUUUUGGUAAGCAGAACUGGCGAUGCGGGAUGAACCGAAAGCCGGGUUACGGUGCCAAAUUGCGCGCUAACCUAGAUCCCACAAAGGGUGUUGAUUGAUUAAGACAGCAGGACGGUGGUCAUGGAAGUCGAAAUCCGCUAAGGAGUGUGUAACAACUCACCUGCCGAAUCAACUAGCCCCGAAAAUGGAUGGCGCUUAAGCGCGCAACCUACACCCGGCCAUUGGGGCGAGUGCGAGGCUUCAAUGAGUAGGAGGGCGUGGGGGUCGUGGAGCAGCUUUGGGCGUGAGCCCGANNNNNNNNNNNNNNNNNNNNNNN